rnacentral:lncRNA from 1 species
UGAGAUUGAAUUUGACAGUUUUUAUAUCUAACAAAAGAUUAUUUUCCAUGUGGCAGAUACAACUGGAAUAACAAAUUUUUCAUCCACUAAAUAUAAUUUAAAUUAAAAAUUUUUAAAAAUCAAUUACAAACCCAAAUACCUAAUUUUAAACGAGCAGUACAUAGCAAGAUAAGACUUGACAUGAUGACUGACAAGGAAUAUUGUGAUGCUUGGCUGGAGGUGGGCGAGGCUGGUCAAUGGAAAAUAAAAGGAAGGUCAUGCUCUUUAAUGAGGAAAAUAAGAUGUAAAUUAAAUGUGCAAGGCUUUCAAUUUUUCACUCUAGUGAGAGACCAUGCAUAGCAAUUGGCAAAGUGUAAGAUGGAAGGGAGAAGAUAGAACUUGGAAGGAAAAAAAGAUGGCUUGACUGCAUGAGGUCGGGAUGUUAUAGAUAUGGUGUGGCUAGUGAUAGUUGCUAGAUUCGGGGGAUAACAGGAUGUUUCCAUGUGUUGGAACUAGGUGGUUGAUUGGUUGGCGGAUGGUUCCACUGGUAGAGGAUGUGGUCUAAGGAGUCUACAAGAGAGAAUUGGAUCAGAAAGCCAACAGGGUCUAUCCAUGACUGACACACUAAUGUUUAUGUUAGUGAAGAUGAUAAAAGAGAGCUAAAAGAGCAAUAAAUAAGGAGAAAAUGGUUAGGGC